rnacentral:rRNA from 1 species
UACAGAGGGCUCAAGCGUUAAUCGGAAUCACUGGGCUUAAAGGGUCCGCAGGCGGACGAGCAAGUAUCUUGUGAAAUACCAUGGCUCAACCAUGGAAUUGCUCGGUAAACUGCUUGUCUUGAACGCGGUAGGGGCCAUCGGAACUCUAGGUGGAGCGGUGAAAUGCGUAGAUAUCUAGAGGAACGCCAGAGGCGAAGGCGGAUGGCUGGGCCGUUGUUGACGCUCAGGGACGAAAGCGUGGGUAGCAAACGGG